AGCAGCCGCGGUAAUUCCAGCUCCAAUAGCGUAUAUUAAAGUUGUUGCAGUUAAAAAGCUCGUAGUUGAAUUUCGGGAUUGGCGCAUCGGUCGUGCCUCACGGGGUAUGAACUGGUGCAGUCAAUUUCUCACCUUCUGGAGAACCGCGAUGUCCUUAAUUGGAUGCCGCGGGGAACCAGGACCUUUACUUUGAAAAAAUUAGAGUGUUUAAAGCAGGCAUUUUUGCUUGAAUACAUUAGCAUGGAAUAAUAAAAUAGGACGGCAUGGUUCUAUUUUGUUGGUUUCUAGGACCACCGUAAUGAUUAAUAGGGAUAGUUGGGGGCAUUAGUAUUCAAUUGUCAGAGGUGAAAUUCUUGGAUUUAUUGAAGACUAACUACUGCGAAAGCAUUUGCCAAGGAUGUUUUCUAUUAAUCAAGAACGAAGUUAGGGGAUCGAAGACGAUCAGAUACCGUCGUAGUCUUAACCAUAAACUAUGCCGACUAGGAAUCAGACGAUGUUAAUUUUUAAUUGACUCGUUAGG
rnacentral:rRNA from 1 species